rnacentral:misc_RNA from 1 species
GAUGAAGAACGAAGCGAAAUGCGAUAACUAAUGUGAAUUGCAGAAUUCCGUGAAUCAUCGAGUCUUUGAACGCACAUUGCGCCCCCUGGUAUUCCGGGGGGCAUGCCUGUCCGAGCGUCAUUGCUGCCCAUCAAGCACGGCUUGUGUGUUGGGUCCUCGUCCCCCCCGGGGGACGUGCCCGAAAGGCAGCGGCGGCACCGCGUCCGGUCCUCGAGCGUAUGGGGCUUUGUCACCCGCUCUGCAGGCCCGGCCGGCGCUGGCCGACGCGAAAGCAACCAUUUUUUCUCCAGGUUGACCUCGGAUCAGGGAGGGAUACCCGCUGAACUUAAGCAUAUCAAUAAGCGGAGGA